rnacentral:rRNA from 1 species
GUCUACUGGCCCCACCCCCAACCCUGGGUACUCCCGAUCUCGGAAGCAAAGCAGGGUCGGGCUCAGGCAACUACUUGGAUGGGAGACCUCCUGGGAACACCGAGUGCUGUAGACU